rnacentral:tRNA from 1 species
GGGGAUCUAACUUAGUGGCAAAGCGCCUGCCUUGCAAGCAGGCAGUAGUGAGUUUGAUCCCUG